GUCCACGCCCUAAACGAUGUCAACUAGGUGUUGGGAGGGUAAAACCUUUUAGUACCGGAGCUAACGCGUGAAGUUGACCGCCUGGGGGAGUACGGCCGCAAGGUUAAAACUCAAAGGAAUUGACGGGGACCCGCACAAGCGGUGGAUGAUGUGGAUUAAUUCGAUGCAACGCGAAAACCUUACCUACCCUUGACAUGUCCGGAAGCCCUUAGAGAUUUGGGUGUGCUCGAAAGAGAGCCGGAACACAGGUGCUGCAUGGCUGUCGU
rnacentral:rRNA from 1 species